rnacentral:rRNA from 1 species
GACGAACGCUGGCGGCGUGCUUAACACAUGCAAGUCGAACGGAAAGGCCCUGCUUUUGUGGGGUGCUCGAGUGGCGAACGGGUGAGUAACACGUGAGUAACCUGCCCUUGACUUUGGGAUAACUUCAGGAAACUGGGGCUAAUACCGGAUAGGAGCUCCUGCUGCAUGGUGGGGGUUGGAAAGUUUCGGCGGUUGGGGAUGGACUCGCGGCUUAUCAGCUUGUUGGUGGGGUAGUGGCUUACCAAGGCUUUGACGGGUAGCCGGCCUGAGAGGGUGACCGGCCACAUUGGGACUGAGAUACGGCCCAGACGCAAACGGGCGGCAGGAGUGGGAAAUAUUGCACAAUGGGCGGAGGCCGGAUGCAGCAACGCCGGGUGCGGGAGGACGGCCUUCGGGUUGGAAACCGCUUUCGCCUGUGACGAAGCGUGAGGGACGGUAAUGGUAAAGAAGCACCGGCUAACUACGUG